UUGUAAGAGCAAAAGAGCACAUGGUGGAUGCCUUGGCACCAAAUGGCGAUGAAGGACGCGGUUAACUGCGAAAAGCCUCGGAGAGCUGUAAGCAAGCUUCGACCCGGGGGUAUCCGAAUGGGGCAACCCGGCACAAGUAAUGUUGUGUCAUCCGAAAGGAGGCUAACGAGGGGAACUGAAACAUCUUAGUACCCUCAGGAAGAGAAAGUAAAAACGAUUUCCUAAGUAGCGGCGAGCGAACGGGAAAGAGCCUAAACCGAUUGAAUAAUCGGGGUAGUGGGACUACGAUGUAGAGAAGUAAAUGAUAGACGAACCGAUCUGGGAAGUUCGACCGCAGAAGGUGAAAGUCCUGUAGUUAAAAUUGUUUACCAUCUUAGUAGUAUCCCGAGUAGGUCGGAACACGAGAAAUUCCGAUUGAAUCAGCGAGGACCAUCUCGUAAGGCUAAAUACGUUUGGUGACCGAUAGUGAAACAGUACCGUGAGGGAAAGGUGAAAAGGACCCCGGAAGGGGAGUGAAAUAGAACCUGAAACCGUGUGUUUACAAGCAGUCAGAGCUGUAACAAGCGAUGGCGUGCCUUUUGCAUAAUGAGCCAACGAGUUAAUCUAAUCAGCGAGGUUAAGUAUUACAGAUAUGGAGCCGAAGCGAAAGCGAGUAUUAAUAGUGCGAUUAGUUGAUUGGAUUAGACCCGAAACCGGGUGAUCUACCCAUGUCCAGGUUGAAGGUGAGGUAACACUUACUGAAGGACCGAACCAACUGAUGUUAAAAAAUCAGUGGAUGAGAUGUGGGUAGGGGUGAAAGGCCAAACAAACCCGGAGAUAGCUGGUUCUCUUCGAAACAUAUUUAGGUAUGGCCUUAGAUUAAUUUAUAGGAGGUAGAGCACUGAAUGGGCUAGGGGACUCACCAGUUUACUGAACCCAACCAAACUCCGAAUGCCUAUAAAUGAUGUCUAGGAGACAGCCCGUGAGGGAUAAGCUUCACGGACGAGAGGGAAAGAACCCAGACCACCGGCUAAGGUCCCCAAUUUUAUGCUAAGUGAUUAAGGAUGUUUAAUUGCAUAGACAGCCAGGAUGUUGGCUUAGAAGCAGCCACCAUUUAAAGAGUGCGUAAUAGCUCACUGGUCGAGUGGUAAUGCACCGAAGAUGAUCGGGACUAAAGCAUGAAACCGAAGCCGUGGACCGCCACUCAUUUAUAAAUUUUAUAAUAAGUAAUUUAAAGUAGCUAUAUCUUUAUCCAAACUCUUCACUUGAUGUGUUCCAACACACCUGCGUUUGAGUUUGAAUAAAUCUAUUAGCUAUCUCUUUUUAAAAAAAGAGACCAAAAACUAAGAGUUAUGUGCUUAAAACUUUAAUAGUAAUUAAAUAAUUUAAAUUAUUAAAUGAUUAAAUUAUUAAAUGUUUGAGAAAGAAAAGAAUUUAUAAGUGAGUGGCGGUGGUAGAAGAGCAUUCUAAACAGCAACGAAGGUGUGAUGUGAGUCAUGCUGGAGCGUUUAGAAGAGACGAUGUUGGCAUGAGUAACGAUAAUGUGAGUGAGAAACUCACACGCCGCAAGUCCGAAGUUUCCUCAGUAAAGAUAAUCUGCUGAGGGUAAGCCGGCCCCUAAGGCGAUGCCGAACGGCGCAGCUGAUGGGAACCAGGUUAAUACUCCUGGGCCUGAGAUAACGAGUGAUGGAGUGACGCAACUAUGCAACACAGACUACUGUUGGAUUAGUAGUUGAAUGUAUGUAGGAGAGAAUACAGGCAAAUCCGUAUUUUCAAUCCGAGGUACAGGACGACAGCUUAGCUGAUAAAGUGUGUUUAUAAGGUUGCCAAGAAAUAGCUUCUAAGCGAUGAAGUAUAUCAGACCGUACUGCAAACCGACACAGGUGGACGAGGAGAGUAUCCUCAGGCGUUCGAGAGAAUUCUGGUUAAGGAACUAGGCAAAAUGACCCCGUAACUUCGGGAGAAGGGGUGCUACAUUAGUGUGAGCAUGUGCAAUGCAGAGCAUGAAGUAGCCGCAGUGAAGAGGCCCAAGCGACUGUUUAUCAAAAACACAGGUCUAUGCGAAGAAGUAAUUCGAAGUAUAUAGACUGACACCUGCCCGGUGCUGGAAGGUUAAAUGGAGAGGUUAGCUUUUAGGAGCGAAGCUUUGAAAUGAAGCCCCAGUAAACGGCGGCCGUAACUAUAACGGUCCUAAGGUAGCGAAAUUCCUUGUCGGGUAAGUUCCGACCUGCACGAAUGGUGUAACGAUUUGGGCACUGUCUCAACCAGGAACUCGGUGAAAUUGUAAUAGCGGUGAAGAUACCGCUUACCCGCGAAAGGACGGAAAGACCCCGUGAACCUUUACUGUAUCUUGGCAUUGUAACUUGGUUUAGUAUGUGUAGGAUAGGUGGGAGGCUGCGAAGCAUGGUCGCUAGAUUGUGCCGAGCCGUUGUUGAAAUACCACCCUUAUUAAAUUGAUUUACUAACGAUAUGAAAACAUAUUGGACAUUGCCAGGUGGGCAGUUUGACUGGGGCGGUCGCCUCCGAAAAAGUAACGGAGGCUUACCAAGGUUCCCUCAAGAUGGUUGGUAAUCAUCUGCAGAGCAUAAAGGUAUAAGGGAGCUUGACUGCGAGACUGACGGGUCGAGCAGGUAGGAAACUAGGUCUUAGUGAUCCGGCGGUUCUGAAUGGAAGGGCCGUUGCUCAAAGGAUAAAAGGUACUCCGGGGAUAACAGGCUGAUACCGCCCAAGAGUUCAUAUCGACGGCGGUGUUUGGCACCUCGAUGUCGGCUCAACUCAUCCUGGGGCUGAAGAAGGUCCCAAGGGUUCGGCUGUUCGCCGAUUAAAGAGUUACGCGAGCUGGGUUCAGAACGUCGUGAGACAGUUCGGUCCCUAUCCUUCGUGGGCGCAGGAGAUUUGAGAGGAUCUUCAUUUAGUACGAGAGGACCGGUGUGGACGAACCUCUGGUGUAUCGGUUGUGGCGCCAGCUGCAUUGCCGAGUAGCUAAGUUCGGAAUGGAUAACCGCUGAAAGCAUCUAAGCGGGAAGCCAACCUCAAGAUUAGAUCUCCCCUUAGAGUCAUUGGAGACUACAAUGUUGAUAGGUCACAGGUGUACGCAUGGCAACAUGUUCAGCCGAGUGAUACUAAUAACUCGAUCGUCUUACUUAU
rnacentral:rRNA from 1 species